rnacentral:rRNA from 1 species
AUUGAACGCUGGCGGAAUGCUUUACACAUGCAAGUCGAACGAUGAACCUUAGCUUGCUAAGGGGAUUAGUGGCGAACGGGUGAGUAAUAUAUCGGAACGUACCUUGUAAUGGGGGGAUAACUAGUCGAAAGAUUAGCUAAUACCGCAUACGCCCUGAGGGGGAAAGUAGGGGAUCUUCGGACCUUACGUUAUAAGAGCGGCCGAUAUCUGAUUAGCUAGUUGGUGGGGUAAUGGCCUACCAAGGCGACGAUCAGUAGCUGGUCUGAGAGGACGACCAGCCAAACUGGAACUGAGACACGGUCAAGACUCCUACGUGAGGCAGCAGUGGGGAAUUUUGGACAAUGGGCGCAAGCCUGAUCCAGCCAUUCCGCGUGAGUGAAGGAGGCCUUCGGGUUGUAAAGCUCUUUCGCAAGGGAAGAAAACUUACAUUCUAAUAAAGUGUGAGGCUGACGGUACCUUGAUAAGAAGCACCGGCUAACUACGUGCCAGCAGCCGCAGUAA